rnacentral:lncRNA from 1 species
AGAUUUCAGCCGUCGGAUCGAGCGUGUAUGGCCCAGAUCGUCGAACAGAGGAUGGCGAUUUUUCAAAAAAACAUCCCAAACUUUGUCGAAAUCGAUCCAGCAGUCCAAAGGCCCUAGAAUUUUUUAAAAAAAAACCCCCGAACUUUGUCAAAAUCCAACCUCGAACAUAGGCUUGACAAUUUUUCAAAAAACAUCCCAAACUUUGUCGAAAUCGAACCAGUAGUCCAAAGGCCUCAUAGAAAAUUUUUCAAAAAACCCCCGAACUUUGUCAAAAUCCAACAUGCACUCUAGGUACAGAUAACCCCGGUAAUCUUUCAAACCCCCCCCCCAACAUUGUCGGAAUCGAACCCGCCAUCCAAGACCUCUCACACAAAAAUUUUAAAAAAACCCCAUACUUUAUCGGAAUACAACCUGCAGUCCACAGACCUCUCUCACACAAUUUCCUAAGAAAACCCUCUACCUUUAACGAAAUCACCUCGCCAUCCAACCCAUAAGUAAUAUAAAUAAAGAUGUAAAAAAAAUAAUUUAUUAACUAAUAAAUUGACUGCCACUUUGCAAAAUAGAAACAAAAACAUAGAAAAAUGAUAGAGGUACAA